rnacentral:rRNA from 1 species
AACGAACGUUGGCGGCGUGGAUUAGGCAUGCAAGUCGUACGAGUUUCAUCUGUGUAACUGGAUGAAAAAAGUGGCGAAAGGGGCAGUAAGGCAUGGAUAAUCUACCCUGAUGACCGGGAUAUCUUUCCCAACGGGCAGGUAAUACCGGAUGAGCUGGUGGGUCCGCAUGGUUCUUCCAGUAAAGGCGCAAUCUGUGUCGGGAUGAAUCCAUGUGAUAUUAGCUAGUUGGUGAGGUAAAGGCUCACCAAGGCGAAGAUGUCUAGCGGGUGUGAGAGCACGACGCGCGCCAUUGGAGCUGAGAAAAUGGCCAGACUACUACGGGAGGCUGCAGUAGAGGAGAUUAGGCAAUGGGCGAAAGACUGACUGAGCGACGACGCGUGAGCGAUGAAGGCAAUUAGGUUGUAAAGAUCUGUCGAGGGGGAAGAAGGAGCAAGGUUGCGUGACCCCUGGAGGAAGCACGGGCUAAGUUCGUG